rnacentral:lncRNA from 1 species
AUUUUAAUCAUUUCAUGUUUAGAAAAUAUUAUAUUUUUCAUUGUUAAUGAAAGUAUUAGUUUACGGUACAUGUAUAACGAUUUAUGUUGACCACCGAGCUCCAAUCUCAUACUAUUGCUUGCAGGCCCACCUUGUACGCGUGUGAGUUCGGUUGAAGAAGUUAAGCUCGGCAUAUUACUACCGUAAUCCCCAUGGGACACAAUGAUUACAGAUUCUUAACAUCUUGUCACAUCACCCCUUUAGCCGUAUACAUUUGCGAGAGAUAACAUCAGCACUGUCCAAACCCACCAACCAAUGGCCUCUAUUCUUUUAUUCUUUGCAGAACAUCAUUACCUGAAUGGAAAAUUGGCAUGAUGCAGUAGGCCUCAUCAGCAAAUCAAGAGAGAAAUUGAUGGUUCACCUUCCGAGCUCGGCACUAUAGAUGAUUUAAUUGAUUUGACGGGUUUUCGACUGAAGUCUCCUAUAAAUAGUAAAGACUAGAGGGAGAACAAAAAGGGGGACAGAUUUUCAUAGCGGUGGACGUGAUUUCAUUUGGUUCUAAUAAACCAUAAACCAAUAAUUUUCUUAAUAAUAAAUCAAUGAUUUUCUUAAUAAUAAAACCAAAUGGUUUUUUUAAAGGUAUGGAACCAAACCGAACUGCUCCAUUCAGCUCUGGUUUGGCUUGUUCUGAUUCUAGUUCUAUUACUUAAAUUUUUAAACUUACGCCAUAUACAUAAGUUAGUAAUAUAUAUUCAAAUAAAAAAUAUAAGCAACAAACAUUUAGCAAGUUCAAAUUAUCAAUCAUCAAGAUUUCAAAAGUUCAAACUAACGAACAAAAUAUAAAUAAAUGCUUCUUUGCCAAAAGUUAAUAAUAGCAAGUUUCACCUUCAUCCUCCGUCCAAUCAAUUCAUUUACAUGAAGCCACCAAACCUACAUGCUUCAUUUGAGAGAUAUGCAGGGCAGUGUUUGAGACUCUUGAGGGUUUAAAUUUGAAGUAAUAUUCUUAAUGGGC